AAAGAAAUAUAAUUGUACACGCAACAAGAAUUUAAUUUGUAAUUUCCUGUUAAUGCAAUCGAUAAAAUUAUGCGUAUAAAACAAUGAAUAGUUACCUUGAAAACCAGAAAAAAUGUCAAAGCCAAAAUUACAUUCGGUUCUAUAUAUUUGCAAUUGCAUGCACAUUUAAGGGGAAUAAUUAGUUUGUUUACAAAGAAUUAAGUGAUAACCACAUUGGGCAAUUGAUAAGGAGUAAAAGCUAAAAAAAGAAGCAAAACCAUAAGCAAAACUGGGAUAAAGAGAAGCAUUAAUGGGGGCGGCGGAAGUGGCGGCAGAACCAACGGCAAAACAAGAAGUGAAAUAGUUAAAAACACCAUUAUAAAGAUUGCCCUUGAGCUCAAAUACGUCGAAAGCUUAUCAUCAGUACUAAACUUUGCUUCAAAUGGGAUAUGAUCAGUACUACUGCUCUUUUGAUGAUCAAUUUCGUACAUCAUCUGCAUCUUCUUCUAUUUAACAAACAUAUUACAAAACUGUUCCCUUUAUAUAAGACUGUGCCUGUCUGUGUGUGUAAAAAGAAGGAAGAUGAAAGGGUGGGGGAUGAAUGAAUGGAUAUAAAUGAGGAAGACGAAAGGAAAAGUAUAGGAAGAAAGAUUUGGGUUUUGGGGGGUGGGUUUAGGGUAGGGGGAGGGAGGAGUCAGUUUCAAACCGACACGUCACCUGACCAACCACAAACGUUAUGACAAAGUUUUGGGCUGGAUUCAUCGUACACGAGGGUACGUUGGUAAAUUCCAGACGGACAUGUACCGCCGUUCGUUUGAAAUUUUUCAAAAAUUGAGUUCUCGUUUUUUCGUCAAAAAUUUUGGGUCUUCCUCCG
rnacentral:lncRNA from 1 species